rnacentral:rRNA from 1 species
CCUACGGGCGGCAGCAGUGGGGAAUUUUGCGCAAUGGGGGAAACCCUGACGCAGCAACGCCGCGUGCGGGACGAAGGCCCUCGGGUCGUAAACCGCUUUCAGCAGGGAAGACCUUACGACGGUACCUGCAGAAGAAGCUCCGGCUAACUACGUGCCAGCAGCCGCGGUAAUACGUGGGGGGCGAGCGUGAUUCGGAUUCAUUGGGCGUAAAGCGCGCGUAGGCGGCCGCCUAAGCGGAACCGCUAACCCCGGGGUUCAACCGCGGGCCGGGUUCCGGACUGGGCGGCUCGAGUGCGGAAGAGGAGAGUGGAAUUCCCGGUGUAGCGGUGGAAUGCGCAGAUAUCGGGAAGAACACCGAUGGCGAAGGCAGCUCUCUGGGCCGUCACUGACGCUGAGGCGCGAAAGCUGGGGGAGCGAACAGGAUUAGAUACCCCUGUAGUC